UGUUCUGUGGCUUAGUUGGUUAAAGCGCAGUUCUAGCGAAUACGGAGGCGUGGGAUCGAAUCCCACCAGGACGG
rnacentral:tRNA from 1 species